GAUGAACGCUGGCGGCGUGCCUAAUACAUGCAAGUCGAGCGAAUGGAUUAAGAGCUUGCUCUUAUGAAGUUAGCGGCGGACGGGUGAGUAACACGUGAGUAACCUGCCCAUAAGACUGGGAUAACUCCGGGAAACCGGGGCUAAUACCGGAUAACAUUUUGAACCGCAUGGUUCGAAAUUGAAAGGCGGCUUCGGCUGUCACUUAUGGAUGGACCCGCGUCGCACUAGCUAGUUGGUGAGGUAACGGCUCACCAAGGCAACGAUGCGUAGCCGACCUGAGAGGGUGAUCGGCCACACUGGGACUGAGACACGGCCCAGACUCCUACGGGAGGCAGCAGUAGGGAAUCUUCCGCAAUGGACGAAAGUCUGACGGAGCAACGCCGCGUGAGUGAUGAAGGCUUUCGUGUCGUAAAACUCUGUUGUUAGGGAAGAACAAGUGCUAGUUGAAUAAGCUGGCACCUUGACGGUACCUAACCAGAAAGCCACGGCUAACUACGUGCCAGCAGCCGCAGUAA
rnacentral:rRNA from 1 species